AUGAAUGCAAAUCUCUUUUUCCUUUUUUUUUGGUAUGGGAAAAGUUUAGGCAAGUUCUGUCUCGGAACCUCUAGGAUCAUGGAAAGCUUUACGACUCAAAAUUCUGUCUCGGGAGCUCACUGGUAUCAUGGAAAGCUUUAUGACUCAGAAAGUGAAAUUGCUUCUUCGGUAACCUUGAAUUUCAUUUGUGUAUUUUGA